UCAGAAUGUGCACUACCGCAUUUUUGGC
rnacentral:sRNA from 1 species